rnacentral:rRNA from 1 species
CUUUACUAUAACUUGACAUUGACUUUGGGCUCCUUUUGCGCAGUCUAGGUGGGAGGCUAUGAUAUCUUAUUUCCGGGUAAGAUGGAGCCGUUUUUGAGAGACCACUCUGAAAGAGCUAAAAUUCUAAUAGUGAUCCUUGAAUCAGGACACUUGACAGUGUCAGGCGGGUAGUUUUUCUGGGGCGGAAACCUCCUAAAAAGUAACGGAGGUGCGCAAAGGUUCCCUCAGGCUGGACGGAAAUCAGCUGUAGAGUGUAAAGGCAUAAGGGAGCUUGACUGCAAGACCUACAAGUCGAGCAGGGGCGAAAGCCGGCCGUAGUGAUCCGACGGUACCGCGUGGAAGGGCCGUCGCUCAACGGAUAAAAGUUA